CCUACGGGAGGCAGCAAUGAGGAAUAUUGGUCAAUGGACGAGAGUCUGAACCAGCCAAGUAGCGUGAAGGAUGACUGCCCUAUGGGUUGUAAACUUCUUUUAUAUGGGAAUAAAAUGUUCCACGUGUGGGAUUUUGUAUGUACCAUAUGAAUAAGGAUCGGCUAACUCCGUGCCAGCAGCCGCGGUAAUACGGAGGAUCCGAGCGUUAUCCGGAUUUAUUGGGUUUAAAGGGAGCGUAGGUGGAUUGUUAAGUCAGUUGUUAAAGUUUGCGGCUCAACCGUAAAAUGGCAGUUGAAACUGGCAGUCUUGAGUACAGUAGAGGUGGGUGGAAUUCGUGGUGUAGCGGUGAAAUGCUUAGAUAUCACGAAGAACUCCGAUUGCGAAGGCAGCUCACUGGACUGCAACUGACACUGAGGCUCGAAAGUGUGGGUAUCAAACAGGAUUAGAUACCCGAGUAGUC
rnacentral:rRNA from 1 species